UACGAAGGGGGCUAGCGUUGUUCGGAAUCACUGGGCGUAAAGCGCACGUAGGCGGUUCGUUAAGUCGGAUGUGAAAGCCCUCGGCUCAACUGAGGAAGUGCACCCGAAACUGGCGAGCUUGAGUACGAAAGAGGAUCGCGGAAUUCCCGGUGUAGAGGUGAAAUUCGUAGAUAUCGGGAGGAACACCGGUGGCGAAGGCGGCGAUCUGGGUCGAUACUGACGCUGAGGUGCGAAAGCGUGGGGAGCAAACAGG
rnacentral:rRNA from 1 species